UACGUAGGGGGCGAGCGUUGUCCGGAUUUACUGGGCGUAAAGCGCACGUAGGCGGAUUGCUAAGUCAGGGGUGAAAUCCUGGAGCUCAACUCCAGAACUGCCUUUGAUACUGGCGACCUUGAGUCCGGGAGAGGUGAGUGGAACUGCGAGUGUAGAGGUGAAAUUCGUAGAUAUUCGCAAGAACACCAGUGGCGAAGGCGGCUCACUGGCCCGGUACUGACGCUGAGGUGCGAAAGCGUGGGGAGCAAACAGG
rnacentral:rRNA from 1 species